rnacentral:lncRNA from 1 species
UGAAGGAACAGAAAAGGAGAGAGAAGGUGAAAGAGAACAGAUGAAUGUUCUGCUCUCACAGUUGGCUCUUUAACUUAGGGAUACUAUAUAACGUAAUGUAUGUGGGAAAAUCACACAUGAUUCUUCAAUCUCUCUGGACAGUUACCCUAAAGUGAUUCCUGCAUGACCUUGUCUUAGUCUUUCAGAUGGCCGAGGUCCAGGAGAUGAUAUAGCCCUGAUUUAUGGGGAACUACUUAAUUCAGCACUCAUGUGACUACACCGUGAUGUGCAAAUACAUGAAAAUAAUUGAGUGAUCAGCCUUGUAGGGAUAUCAAAGGCUUGUUUGGGGGUGUGGAGAUUUGUUUCUGGACUGCUGAUAAGCAGAAUUUCUCUCAGCUGAAAUGGGGGAAACUUGUCUUUUAAGGAAAAAGAAGGCUUCUGGGACCCAGUGGCAAGUGCUCUAAGGAGAGAGAAAGUCCUAGGAUGGUUAUAGAGAAGGCAGCCCAAGGCUCACUUUGGACUCAAUUUUCCUGACCUUCCUCGAGUGAAACAACAAUGGCAGUGACAGCCUUGCUUGGGCUAGCUCUACUGAAUGAAAAAAAUAUCACUUUCUUCAGCUAAGGAAUGGAACCAUGACCUUUUCCAAGAUGAAAAAAUUCAUAGCAACAAAUUAGAAACUGGAGAAAUGAUGCUUGUUUUUGAAGUAAACAGUGAGAAUCGACUGUUGGCAAACUGUUGAAGUGAUUCUACUUCAUUGGAUGGGGCACCAUGGUGCGUGGAAAAGAACACUGGCUUUGGAAUCAUAAGACUUGGAUUUAAUCUUGCUUCUGAUGCUGUGUGACAUUUGUCAAAUCCUUUAGCCUCUUUGGGCCUCAGUUUCCUAAUUUAUAAAAUAAGGGAAUUAAACUAGAUAACCUACAAGUUUCCUUCCAGCAUUAAAUCUAUGAUUCUGUGGUCCAGUGAAUAAAUUAAAAAAUUAGGAAGGAUGAAAAUUAGAC